GAUGAACGCUGGCGGCGUGCCUAAUACAUGCAAGUCGAGCGAAUGGAUUAAGAGCUUGCUCUCAUGAAGUUAGCGGCGGACGGGUGAGUAACACGUGGGUAACCUGCCCAUAAGACUGGGACAACUCCGGGAAACCGGGGCUAAUACCGGAUAACAUUUUGAACCGCAUGGUUCGAAAUUGAAAGGCGGCUUCGGCUGUCACUUAUGGAUGGACCCGCGUCGCAUUAGCUAGUUGGUGAGGUAACGGCUCACCAAGGCAACGAUGCGUAGCCGACCUGGGAGGGUGAUCGGCAACACUGGGACUGAGACACGGCCCAGACUCCUACGGGAGGCAGCAGUAGGGAAUCUUCCGCAAUGGACGAAAGUCUGACGGAGCAACGCCGCGUGAGUGAUGAAGGCUUUCGGGUCGUAAAACUCUGUUGUUAGGGAAGAACAAGUGCUAGUUGAAUAAGCUGGCACCUUGACGGUACCUAACCAGAAAGCCACGGCUAACUACGUGCCAGCCGCCGCAGUAA
rnacentral:rRNA from 1 species